GUAAUUUUUUUUUCUUCUGUUAAUUUCCAUAUAUUUUUAAGUUUCCCAAUAUUUCAAAAAAAAACGUAACUAAAAGUCAUAUUUUUCAUUAAUCACAAUAUAAAAUCAACCAGAGACAGCUAAUAUAAUCAUUCACUUUGAGAAAUAUUCUAUGUUAAGUAACGAGAUAAGAACUUGUUUCAAGGAACUAACUUGUUUCAAGGAAAAGAAAAAAAACUAUGUAAUCCUUUCUGAUAAUAGAUAAAAAAAAAUAUUCAGAUAACGUGGAAGAAAGGAUUUGAAAGUUCGUAUGGAAAUAAAUGUCGGGAUACAAAUUAUUUAUAAUUUAUCAUUAAAGAUUAACCAUAAUUCGUGAAUAAAUAUUUUAAUAAAAACACACACUUUUAUAUAUUAAUUCGAAUCUUUAUCUCGAAUCAUAUUUUAAAACAUUACAAAAUGUUCAAAAUUUCAAUUUGAAUUACGAUUAAAUCACUACAUCAAAAAAUAUCUUAAGGAUAACUCUUUAUGAAUAUCAAUCAUACAAUCGUUACUCAAUGUUCUUUCGCAGGUAAAAUAUCUUUCCUUUUGAGGUCCAAAUAAAAAAUCAACACGAAUUACGUGUCAAUUGUAUUAAAACGAAAAAUGUUACUAUUUUUGUAUUGCGUCAUGUCUUUUCAUAUGCAAAAACAGCAUGAAGUUGAUAUGACAUUUCUUUUAUGCGCAAUACUAUUACAUACUACAUACUAUAGUUACAUACUAUUUAUACACACGUUGGUAUCUAUGAUCAUGGUGUUCUGUCUCAAAAAUGUAAAACAUUAACGACAUGUGUCACAUUUGUAACUUGUGACGUGAUGUCUCGUCCUCGAAUGCCAAAACCAAUUACUUAUCUCUAGUUUCUUCUAUUCAUUCUUCUAUUCAUUCUUACAUAAUUGUAAAAUUAUUAAAAACCAAGCGGAAAUAUCAAUAAUGCUCAUUAUAAUCAAUGGCGCUGAUUAUUUUCAUAUGUCGAUCUUAUAUGUAUAUGAAAUUAGAGAGAUAUCAAGGAUGUCAAUUAUAUCAGUACUGCGUCUUGUCCCCGGUACGGUGAUUAAAUUAAAGUGACAACAUUGUUCUCUUAUUAACUAUAAUCACUAUAAAUUCAAUAUAUGAUUAUGCAUGUGAGAUUGUUCACGGCGCAUAUUUUCGUGUGGCGUCGUGUAAAAGAUCGCGCGACAAUCAAAUACGAAACCGUCGACCAGUGGCGCAGCAAAGCUUUAUCACGGCAAUACGAUAUUGCGCUCAAGAUUUGAACUUUGCGACGCUGAUAUCGUAGGUAACGUGAAACUACUCGGCUAGCUCUGUUUCGCAACGUGUUCACAAGGAAGAAAAUUUUCCACUACGAGGCCAAUCGCCAGGAUUUCGCUGAGCUUUGUACUUAUUUGGUUUCCUUCGUCACUACGUUUAACUGAUAAGUUUUAUCAUCUGUAGUGAUAACAAGAAACGGAUAUCUAUUCUGAUUCGUUGAUGGGACUGUAGGCGCGGCUAUGAAGCGUCUACAAGACGGUGGCAACAGAGUGCUUCAGUGGAAAUUUCCAUUGCAGUUGGCAUGCUGUGUGCUAUAACUGUACAGUCCAUUAUAAAAGUAGCAGUUUUCUUAUAUUAAUUAUUAUAAGUAUUAUAAAAAAUUGUUCAUUAUUCUUUAUAAUAUAAAUAUUAUAUUUUUUUUUAAUAUAUUUUUUAUAAAACUGAGUUUUUAAAACUAUAGUAUAAUUUUUAUUCCAAAUAAAUCAAUAAAAUAAUUUUAUAUUGUUAUCAAGAAAUACAAAAUUUCUCAUUUAUAAUUAUUUAUAUAUGGAUUAUAUAUAUGGAAAAAUUUAUAUUUAAGAUAUAUCAUUUAUAUUACAGAUACAAUAUAUAAUUGCGAUUUUAUUUAUUUAUUGAUAAGUAGAUUUCUUUUUAAUCGACUCAUAUGGAAUUAAAUUCUGAUCGCAUAAACAAAAAAGUUGAUCUAACAAUAUUAAUCUAACAAUAUUAUUUAUAGUAUUUAAAUUGUAAAUGAAAUAAAAAUAUAUAUAAAUAUAUCAUUUAUAAAAAAAUUAAUAAUUUUUAUUUAUUUUUGUAACUUAAUAAAUUAGUAAUAAGUAAAA